rnacentral:rRNA from 1 species
GACGAACGCUGGCGGCGUGCCUAACACAUGCAAGUCGAACGGGACCGGGGGCAACUCCGGUUCAGUGGCGGAACGGGUGCGUAACACGUGAGGAACAUGACAUUCGGCGGGGGAUAGCCGGCCCAACGGCCGGGUAAUACCGCGUACGACCUUUCGGGGACAUCCCCGGCUGGUGAAAGCAGCAAUGCGCCGAAUGAGUGCCUCGCGGCCUAUCAGCUAGUUGGUGGGGUAA